GGCCCGUUCGUCUAGAGGCCUAGGACGCCGGCCUCUCACGCCGGUAACACGGGUUCGAAUCCCGUACGGGCUACCA
rnacentral:tRNA from 3 species